GGCGGCGGGGGGAAGACUACAUUUCCCGGCAGGCAGCGCGGGCCGGGCGGCGGCGCGGGGAGAAGCCGGUCGCUCCAAGAUGGCGGUCGAUAAGGACCUGCUGCAGCUGGACCUGUACGGGCUGCUGGGGGUCGGCGAGAAGGCGUCGGAGAAGGAGAUUAAGAAAGCGUACCGCCAGAAGGCCCUGACAUGUCACCCAGAUAAGAACCCAGACAAUCCCAGAGCAGGUCUCUUCCAUAAGGGAUUGUCUUUUUUGGUUCAUCUCCAAGCCACUGCCAUGGUUUUCUGCAUCUUACCCUUUUUUCUUCUAAUUCCCAGCGGAAGUCUUCCACCAACUGUCUCAGGCCUUAGCUGUGCUAACAGAUGCAGCAGCAAGGAUCUUGAAGCCAGGGAACGAGAAGCUCAGACCCGUGACAGCGAAGAGGAGGAGAUCCGGAUCACAAGGACCUUAGAACAAGAGAUAAUACGGCUGCGUGAAGAAGGCUCUCGUCAGCUUGAAGAGCAGCAGAGGCUCAUUCGAGAACAGAUCCGGCUUGAAAGAGAGCAGCGCAUCCAAGGCAGGCAAGAAGGAAAUGGAGCAGAAGGCAGAAUAACUCCCAAACUCAAACUAAAAUGGAAAUGCAGGAAAGAAGAUGAGACAGGAGGAGGAUACUCAAAAGAUGUUCUGUUGCGGAUUCUCCAAAAGUAUGGUGAUGUGCUAAAUUUGUUGAUCUCCAGCAGGAAGACUGGGAGUGCAGUUGUGGAAUUUGCUACGGUUAAGGCUGCUGAGAUGGCUGUGAAGAAUGAAGUUGGCCUGACAAAUAAUCCUCUAAAGAUUUCGUGGCUGGAAGGCCAGCCUCAGAACAAUCCCAGCACUGUCCUUUCUGACAGCAGUAGUCAGCCUAGGACUUCACAGGCAUCUGUGGUCUCAGAGAGGGAUUACGAGAGCCUGGUGAUGAUGCGGAUGCGCCAAGCCGCAGAGAGGCAGCAGCUGAUUGAACAGCUCAAGCGGGAAGAUGAGGAAGAGUCUCACACCUAGCAGGAGAGAGAAUACAGACUGCACAUGACUGCAGUGCUUUCCAGAGAACAGGGAAAGAUGGCUGCAUAAGCUUCAGAUUUCUGCCAGCUCUGUGCAUUUGGAACAGGAACUAACCUUGGCUCCACCUGGUCCUUCAGGCUCAGCAGAAGACCUGAGGGCUGUGAGAAUGCUCCCACCAUCAAGGAAAUUAGGUGGUGGUUGUGGAGAGGAAGAACGGCACAAUACAGACACACAACGUGUUGAAUGAGCUUGGGAAGCAGCAGAGCCAAAACGGCAAGUGUAACCUUCAGCACUAGCUUCGGCAGCCUUUCCUUUCCGUUCCUCUAACGCAGCCAUUUGGGCUGAAGUAUUUAUUCAAGCAGAUGGGAUGAGCUUCAUAAUUGUUCAUUUCUUAGAUGACUCACUGUGCCAGAUAAGCUGCUAAUGAUGGGCUAUGGGAUCUUCGGUGAUCUUGCUUGGGCAUCAUAACAAAGCCUGUCCUGACUUUCAUACCAGUAACAAUAAAAAAGACGAAAAAGCAUUUGCAAAGUUUCUAAGGUUGCAAAACAUUAAUAGUGGUGAAUACUUUUUAAAGCCUAAAAUGACACUAAGAUGUGAAAGUUUUUUUCAGUUUCUCAAGACAGACUAUACUUUGCUGUAAUUAUAGAUGUGGUGUAAAGAUAAUAUGUAUUAUUAUAAGUGUCUUUGAACUUGAUGCUUUCUCUAAGAGGCUUGCUACAUACCCUUCGGAUUCACAUGUUCAAGUUGGUAAAUAUUAUUGCCAUGAUGCAGAAGGAGCUGAGGCAGGGAUUGUUUGCUAUUUGUAGGAGCCUAAAAAACUGACUGGCUGAGCUAAAAGCAGAAGACAAGCUGAGUUGCCUAGGGCCUUAAACACAACUCUGCGUUGAAUGAAACAAAAGAUCACACACAACGUGUAUCGAGCACACCGCCCUCUCCAUCUGAAUCAGGAUGGAGUGGCUGGGAACAUUUGUAAAGCCUUUCCUCCCAGCUGAGAGCCAGCAGGGAACAGAGAAGUCGCCUCAGAUGGGAGAGGACUUCUGCACUUGCACAUUGAGGCGCUUAUAAUUACAGGAGGACAUCGCCGACUGAUCAUCCACACAUGCACGUCCACCUGGGCAUGCAGGUUGCCCAAGAAGCCCCUGUUCUGCAGCAGCCAAAGGCAACAGCAUGAAGCUGACACUGCUGCCAAUCUCCUCGCCACCCACGGGGUUGGGAAUAGCAGCAUGGAGAUGGCUCAGCCCUGCAAACCCACCCCAGAGCUGCAAGCGAUGGAAAGGAGCCAUUGGAGAGGUCAGGAUCAGCCCUCCUGCAGAGGCAGGUGGCCCGAGUUUGCAUUCAGGAGGGUUUCUCUUCACCAGACAGCCUUUGAUUUUUAUUUGAUUCUUUUUCCUGCUCUUUAAUCUUCUAGGUUUUUGGUGCUGCGGCAGUGGAGGAGCUGGACCUCGAUGCUUGCCAGCCUGGUGCUGAGGGGGUGGGUCUUCCCAGCCCUGCCGGCGGCAGUCUGAGAACAUUCUGGGACCAAGAAGCCCCUUCUGCUUCACGCCUGGUUUUCCUCCUACUCCUCCUCUGUGCUGUGGCGCGAGUGGGCAAGCUUGAGCAGAAAUCUGACUGUUCCUCUCUGUUUUAAUUUGCAUUUGGGAGGGGGGUUGUUUUGCUUAGUCUUGGAGAAAAACAAGAAGUUGAGAUACCAAAUGGGGGGGGGAAGUGGGCCAAGAUGUAAGGAAUAGGAUGGCAGCAUUUCCAAGUUGCACCCUCCUGAAAGCUGUUGUCAAACUUGGUGUGGGCAGAGAGAGACGUGGGGAUGCAGGGAAGUGUCAGAUAUGUAUGGUUUAGGAAUGCACAGGGUGGGGACAUGGAGCAGCUCUAACCCUGGGGCUCAGCUGCCCAAGGAAAGGCAUCUGGGGCUGUCAAGAGGGGCUGGCUCGGGUGCUCAAUAACGGGGAGAAAACUCAAGCUAGGGUGGGGAGUGGGCAGGACAGGCUGUGGAUGAGCAUCUGGGGUCAUUUGGCACCAAAACAGGCCGGAGCAAGGCUGUGCAGGAGGAGGGAUGGACUUGAUUUGCUCCUGAGCAUCUUGGGGCUGGAAAUGGUAACAAGACAGAGGUUUGUCUUUGAGAGCUAGGGAUGGGAUAAAGGCAGAUAGUUAUGCAGAAAGAUUAAAGUGCUCACUGUGCCUGUUUUAUUUCAGCCAGGGCAUGUGUCAGGUAGUAACCAGAAGCAUCCCAAGCAUGUAAGGAUGGGGAGAAGGUGGGUCAGGAGCUAAAACGGGGUCACGGUGAGGAGAAAAAAAAAAAGAAAAA